rnacentral:rRNA from 1 species
UACGGGGGGGGCAAGCGUUGUUCGGAAUUACUGGGCGUAAAGGGCUCGUAGGCGGCCAACUAAGUCAGACGUGAAAUCCCCAGGCUCAACUUGGGAACUGCGUCUGAUACUGGAUGGCUUGAAUUCGGGAGAGGGAUGCAGAAUUCCAGGUGUAGCGGUGAAAUGCGCAGAUAUCGGGAGGAACACCAGUAGCGAAGGCGGCUCGCUGGGCCACACCUGACGCUGAGACGCGAAAGCUAGGGGAGCGAACAGG